rnacentral:rRNA from 1 species
GGGAGGGAGCCGUCGAAGGUGGGAUCGGCGAUUGGGACGAAGUCGUAACAAGGUAGCCGUACCGGAAGGUGCGGCUGGAUCACCUCCUUUCUAAGGAG